GGGCCAGUGGAUGCAAGGCCUAGAACACCAGGCAGCCCGGUAAUGCUCUCUCUUCCUUUCUAGUCGGAUAUAUACUUCACAGCAACUGCAGCUGUGAAUGAGGUCUCAUCUGGAGGCAGCUCCAAGGGGGCCAGUGCCCGAAAUUCUCCUCAGACACCCCCGGGCCGAGAUACUCCAGUAUUUCCUUCUUCCCUGGGGGAAGGUGAAAUUCAAUCAAAAAAUCUGUACAAGAUUCCACUUAGAAACCUCGUGGGCAGAAGCAUCGAACGACCUCUGAAGUCGCCCUUAGUCUCCAAGGUCAUCA
rnacentral:sRNA from 1 species